rnacentral:rRNA from 1 species
UACGUAGGGGGCAAGCGUUAUCCGGAAUUACUGGGUGUAAAGGGAGCGUAGACGGUAAUGUAAGUCUGGAGUGAAAGGCGGGGGCCCAACCCCCGGACUGCUCUGGAAACUAUGUUACUAGAGUGCAGGAGAGGUAAGCGGAACUCCUAGUGUAGCGGUGAAAUGCGUAGAUAUUAGGAGGAACACCAGUGGGGAAGGCGGCUUACUGGACUGUAACUGACGUUGAGGCUCGAAAGCGUGGGGAGCAAACAGG